UACAGAGGGGGCAAGCGUUAUUCGGAAUUAUUGGGCGUAAAGGGCGCGUAGGCGGCUUGGCAAGUGGAAGGUGAAAUCCCUCGGCUUAACCGAGGAACUGCCCUCCAAACUGCUUCGCUUGAGACCGGGAGAGGUGAGUGGAAUUCCCAGUGUAACGGUGAAAUGCGUAGAUAUUGGGAGGAACACCAGUGGCGAAGGCGGCUCACUGGACCGGUACUGACGCUGAUGCGCGAAAGCGUGGGGAGCAAACGGG
rnacentral:rRNA from 1 species